CCCUUAGAUGUUCUGGGCCGCACGCGCGCUACACUGACGAAUUCAACGAGUUUAUAACCUUUGCCGGGAGGCAUGGGUAAUCUUGUGAACGUUCGUCGUGAUGGGGAUAGAUUAUUGCAAUUGUUAAUCUUCAACGAGGAAUUCCUAGUAAACGCAAGUCAUCAGCUUGCAUUGAUUACGUCCCUGCCCUUUGUACACACCGCCCGUCGCACCUACCGAUUGAAUGGUCCGGUGAAUUCUUCGGACUGCGGCUUUGACUCGAUUUCGGUCGAGGCGUUGCUGCGGGAAGUUGAUUAAACCUUACCAUUUAGAGGAAGGUGAAGUCGUAACA
rnacentral:rRNA from 1 species